GAACGCUGGCGGCGUGGAUUAGGCAUGCAAGUCGAACGGGACUUAUGUGUAGCAAUACUUAUAAAGUCUAGUGGCGUAAGGGUGGGUAACGACGUGGGUAAUGUACCCGAUAGUUUGGGAUAACGUUCCGAAAGGGACGCUAAUACCGGAUGUGAUGUUAGACCGCCGGGUUUAACAAGAAAGGUGGGGACCGCAAGGCCUGCCGCUAACGGAACGGCCCGCGACCUAUUAGCUAGUUGGUGGGGUAAAGGCCUACCAAGGCGAGGAUGGGUAGCCGAACUGAGAGGUUGACCGGCCACACUGGGACUGAGACACUGCCCAGACUUCUACGGAAGGCUGCAGUCGAGAAUCAUUCACAAUGGACGAAAGUCUGAUGAUGCGACGCCGCGUGCGCGAUGAAGGUCUUCGGAUUGUAAAGCGCUUUGAACAGGGAAGAAUGCCGCGUAUUUAAUAGAUAACGCGGAGGGACAGUACCUGACAAACAAGCCCCGGCUAAUUUCGUGCCAGCAGCCGC
rnacentral:rRNA from 1 species